AAGCGCAUACGGUGGAUGCCUUGGCAGUCAGAGGCGAUGAAAGACGUGGUAGCCUGCGAAAAGCUUCGGGGAGUCGGCAAACAGACUUUGAUCCGGAGAUGUCUGAAUGGGGGAACCCAGCCAUCAUAAGAUGGUUAUCUUGUACUGAAUACAUAGGUGCAAGAGGCGAACCAGGGGAACUGAAACAUCUAAGUACCCUGAGGAAAAGAAAUCAACCGAGAUUCCCUUAGUAGUGGCGAGCGAACGGGGACUAGCCCUUAAGUGGCUUUGAGAUUAGCGGAACGCUCUGGAAAGUGCGGCCAUAGUGGGUGAUAGCCCUGUACGCGAAAAUCUCUUAGUCAUGAAAUCGAGUAGGACGGAGCACGAGAAACUUUGUCUGAAUAUGGGGGGACCAUCCUCCAAGGCUAAAUACUCGUUGCCGACCGAUAGUGAACCAGUACCGUGAGGGAAAGGUGAAAA
rnacentral:rRNA from 1 species